GGAUUCCCCUAGUAAUGGCGAAUGAAGCGGGAACAGCUCAAAUUUGAAAUCUCCGUUGCCUGCAACGGCGAAUUGUAGUUUCGAGAAGCACUUUCUCGGCGGACCCGGGGCCGUCCAAGUUGCUUGGAACAGCACGUCAUAGAGGGUGACAACCCCGUCUGUGGCGGAACCGGCCGUUUACGAUGUGCUUUCGACGAGUCGGGUUGUUUGGGAAUGCAGCCCAAAAUGGGUGGUAAACUCCAUCUAAAGCUAAAUAUUGGCACGAGACCGAUAGCGAACAAGUACCGUGAGGGAAAGAUGAAAAGCACUUUGAAAAGAGAGUUAAAAAGUACGUGAAACCGUUAAAAGGGAAACGAAUGGGGUUAGCAAUGCGCUCCGCCAGAUUCAGCCGGUGGACGGGCUGGGCGGGCGGUUUGCGGAUCCGAAUGGACCGCGGCCGUCCGGUUCGGCACUUCGAUCGUCGCACUUCUGGCGAGCGCGCGCCAACGUCGGUUGGGACUGGGUCUCAAAGGCGCCGGGAAGGUAGGUUCUGGCCCCUCGGGGUCGGAACUGUUAUAGACCGGCGUUGUUCAUGGCCCGGGCUCGACCGAGGAGCCGCGGCGCAUGCCUCUUUUGGCUGGGGUCCCGUCGUCACGGUCGGUAGUCGACUGUGGUGGACUGCAUGCAGUGCGCCACGACCGCUGCCGGUCGCGUCGGCGGUGACCUCACACCAUGCGCCCAGGACGUUGGCGGUCACAUGGCCUCAUCCGACCCGUCUUGAAACACGGACCAAGGAGUCUAACAUGUGCGCGAGUCUUCGAGUGAUCGAAACUCCCAGGCAGAAUGAAAGUGAAGGUGGCCUCGGCCGCUGAGGUGAGAACCCUCCCCCUCGGGGGUGGGCGCAUCAUCGACCGACCUAUUCUACUCUUAGGAAGGUUUGAGUAAGAGCGCAUCUGUUGGGA
rnacentral:rRNA from 1 species